UGGUUUAGUGUAUUUCUUAUACUGGUGUAUUUAUAAUUUAUCUUUAGGCAAUGUCUAUGUCACAUAAAAUAUUCCUUGAAACUUUUUUUUCCUCAACUUUAUAACAUUCCUAACUUUGUCUAAACCUCAGGUAGUGACCAAUUUUGUGAUUGCGAUGGGUUAGCUCCCAAACUAAAUUGUUCCCCACUUUUUUUAACCCUCUCAAAGCCAAAAAGCACAUGACUCAGCAGCCAGGCAAAUUGGUCCCCAGGAAAUGCUUUUACACUAGUGGGAGGGGCCAAAUGGCAUCACAGCAAACAGAUGACAAGAGCAGGAGAGGUGAAGGGUGACAAAGGGAAUCGUAUACUGGAACAGUGAGUGGCUAGAAAUGAGAAGCUUCAGAAAACACAUCUAAAGAAGAGGGGGAAGUAGGCUACUUGAUUCCAGAGGUGAUGUCUAGUGUCCUAUAUUCUUGGAAGGAACAGAACAUUGAAGGCAUCAGAGAAGGAGAGGGAGAAAGGAAUAAAUCAGAAUCUGACCUAUGUUACACGUUUGUUUGUUUCAGUACUCGUUGAAUGAAAGGAAGCUGCUGGAACUGAGGACAGAAAUGGUGGCAUUGCAUGCCCAGCAAGAUCGCGCUGUCACCCAGACAGACAGGAAGAUAGACACUGAGGUCGCUGGCCUCAAAACCAUGCUGGAGUCACACAAGCUCGAUAACAUUAAAUAUUUAGCAGGAUCUGUAUUUACGUGCCUAACAGUAGCUCUGGGAUUUUAUCGCCUGUGGAUAUAAUAAAGUGUCUAUUUAAAGAGAUCCCUAUUGUUUUGCCUUAAGAAUACCAGAUUGCUGUGCCUCUUCUUCCCCCCCUCAUUUCCAAAUUUUAACCCUAGUUUUGACUUAACAUGUAUUAUUUAUUUUAUGCAGAUUAUGGACAUAUAACCAAGGAAAGAAGUCAGAAUGAUUCCUUUCAUCUUUUCUGUUUAGUUGCCUUUGUACCACUGAGUGGUGGUGGACAAAACACGGAAGACCCCACUCAGCCGGACCAGUGAACUUGGUCUAACCUGUGGGACAUACCAACACACAAAGCUUCUGAACUCCGGAUGAGCCUGAAAAUCAAGUUCUUUGGCAUUAGUGGUGUCAGUUUCAAAGUGAAUAAUGAUUUGUCUUCAACUUGAUCCAGAAUUAUCGGGGCACCUGGGUGGCUCAGUUGGUUAAGCCUCUGCCUUCAGCUCAGGUCAUGAUCCCAG